rnacentral:ncRNA from 1 species
CGGCUCUGGAGAAUCCCAUUGAUUGGGUACCGAAGGUGAAAGGCGGCGUGGCCGCUGAAUCUCUCAGGUAAAAGGACAGAGUGA